rnacentral:lncRNA from 1 species
UUAUUUUUAAGUUUGUUCCUAGGUAGUUUAUGUCUUUGGUUGUUUAUGUUGAUUAUGUUUGGUUGUUUAUUUUUUUUUGAUAGUUUGUGUUUUUUGGUUGCUUUUGUGAAUAGGAUCUUCUUCCAGGGAGGUCUUUAUAUGACACAUUGUAAAAGAAACUAAUAAAUAUUUUUUAGAACUUCAGUGUCUUAAGGAAAUUUUACUUACCUCUUUUAUUUGUAAAUAAUUAUCAAAAAGUUCUGGGACGGUGGUUCACACCUGUAAUCCCAGCACUUUGGGAGGCUGAGGCAAGAGGAUUGCUUGAACUCAUGAGUUGGAGACCAGCCUGGCCAACAUGGUGAAACCCCAUCUGUAUUAAAACUACAAAAAAUUACCUGGGCAUGGUGGCGCGCUCCUGUAGUCCCAGCUACUCAGGAGGCUGAGGCAGGAGAAUCGCUUGAACCUGGGAAGCGGAGGUUGCAGUGAGCUGAGAUCGCGCCACUGCGCUCCAGCCUGAGCAACAGAGCAAAACCUUGUCUCAAAAUAAUAAUAAUAAUGGUUAAAAAUGAUCAUAGUUGCUUUGUAAUGUGUCCUGUUGGCUUUUCAUUUAAUGGUGGUACAAAGGUAACAGAAUUUUGGAGAAAUUCCAAAUUGCAUGGUGGUGUUGAAAGCUUUCCCACUUCAGGAGCUGCUGCAGGAAGUCUCUAUUUGGCUGCCAGAAAAGAACACCUAAAAGCUGAGUCACUCAACAGUUUGCAAGAUUUGGCAGCCAAGGUUUGCAGAGCAAGGUUCCAGGGACAUGACACUGGUUCCUAAAAAAGGUAGCAGGAAUCCAGAUACAUAAAAGGCAGUGCACUGAUCUCAUCCGGUGAUUAGGAGGAAAUCGAACAUUCAUCCCACCUGAGGAACAUUUACUGAGCUCUGCCUGGGGCCAGGAAUCCAAAAAGAACUUCAGAGAGUAAAUAAAGAAUUAUAAUAGAGUGAGGCGAAUGCUGUGAGGUAAGCUGAAGGUGUCACAGGAGCCCAAAGGAAGAACUUGCUCACUUUUCCUGUAAAGAGGGUGGGAUGGGUAAUUGGAAAGAUGUCACCAAGGAGAUGUGUGAGCCUGGCUCUGCAGACAAGACAAGGUAUCAGGUACCUCUAAGAGGGGGCAGGGAAUUCUCAGCUUUCAAGAGCCAAACAGCCAUGACUAGAAGCAUGUGUUAGCCAGCAGCAGAGACCCAGGCAGGCAGAUGAGGAAGAUGAGUUACUUCCCCAAGGGUGGGGCUGGUGCUCCUUCAAGCCCUCCCUCUUAGGGCCAGCUUGUGCCAAGACCUGAGCAGGGGUUGGAGCUGAAGGUCAGCAGCAACUAUAUGGCCUGCAGAAGAGAAGGGGUGGGGCUGAGUCAGAUACACAUUUAUCUGAUAUCAGUUCAAUUUCCCGGGGGGCAGGGUGGAAAUAUGGGCACAGUGUGUCGAGGCAGAGAAGCAGAAAACAUGGGCCUGAAGGCACUGGUUUAUGCCUGACCACAGGGAAAGGUUUAGAAACAAGCCCUGCCUAGUCCACUCCUCCACCCCCUCCACCCGCCAUGAUUUGUCCAACGGCUGGCUCCAUUUGGCAGUAUGCCCCGAGGAUCUGGAUGCUGAGGAUGACUUAGGUUCCAGGGUCUAGCCAAGGUAACCCAGCACUUCAGCCUACAUCUUCAGCAUCACUGGGUAGGCUUAUUAAACACAAGAUGCUGGGCCCACCCCUGAGUCUCUGAUUCAGCAGGUCUAGAAGGGGGCCCCCUAAAUUAUGCUUUAACAAGUUCCAGGUGAUUCUAGUCCAGGGACCAUGUUUUGAGAACCACCAAGGUAAUCCAAGCCGGGUAUCCUCGUUGACCAAGGGCCCUGGAGAUGCUGCCUGGGGCUAAGACAAGGGCACUGGAUUUGAAAGCUGAGGGUUCUGGUUGCGGGCUGGCUCAGGCUACUCGGUUGCCACAUGUACAAAAGGGUAAUUCUGCAUCUUAAAUAAGACCUUAGAUAUGAAAGCCCUUUGUCAACUGAGAGGUGAGAUUUGAUGUCAGUUUUUUUACAUGCAAACCUAGGGCUGUAAAGUUUGCUCAUUUCUCCUAAAAUAAUUAUGGCUGUGGUCUGAGGACCACACGUACAACAGGAUCCUCUGGGAAGCUUCCUAGAAUGCAGACUUUGCAGCUCUAAAUCUUGAUGUGGACCCUAUCAUCACAUUUACAUUUUCAGCACAUCUUCAGUGAUUCUUGUGCACCCCAAGGAAUUUGAAAACCACUUGCUUAUGCUGGGGCGGUAGUGAGGGAUGGAAAAAAGCUGUUCUUCCGUUUUCUGAUCUGCUGUUGGGCCAGGAAGAUCCCCCGCCCUCGCCCUGAAGUUUCCUUGCUGCCAGCAUCCUUUGGGAACCUCUCAUCUCAGGAAGGCUGCCUCUCUGCCCCGUCAUUUUCCUCCUGGCUCCCAGCUGCAUGCAGGCGCCACCUCCUGGCAACAUAGUUCUUUCACUCUUUUUCUCCUGUUGUGUUAAUCAGAUCCUCCCCACAUUAAGUGUUGAGAAAAAGAGCCUUUCCAAUGUCAGAAAGAAAUGUGAUUCUCUUACAUUUGAGGGGUUUCGAUGCCUCCUUAAAUGUCUUCACUUCUUGUGAUUUUACUAUUCCACUCUCUAAAAAACAACAAUUAAUAAAUAUAUAUACGUUUAAUUCUUAGUUUUAAUUUAAUUUUUUUUUUUGUAGACAGAGUCUCCCUCGGUUGCUCAGGCUAGAGUGCAGUGGUGUGAUCUCAGCUCACUGCAACCUCCGCCUCCCAGCAUGCACCACCACGCCCACCUAGUUUUUUGUGUGUUUUCGUAGAGAUGGGGUUUCACCAUGUUGGCCAGGCUGGUCUCCAACUCCUGAUCUCAGGUGAUCCACCUGCCUCAGCCUCCCAAAGUGCUGAGAUUACAGGCAUGAGCCACUGUGCCUGGCCUUAGUUUUAAUUUUUAAUACAGUAAAUAUCAACAGAUAUAUCUCACAUAAAAACAUUUUGGGGCCGUGUGUGUGUGUGUGUGUGUGUGUGUGUGUGCGUGUGUGUAUGUGUGUUAUUUUUUUUAACUCUAGGUGCUAACCUUAAAUAAUUCUCCUCUGGGCCAGAUGUGGUGGCUCAUGCCUGUAAUUCCAACACUUUGGGAGGGUGAAGCAAGAGGAUCAUUGGAGGCCAGGAGCUUGAGACCUGCCUGGCCAAGACCCAGUUUCCGCACACACAAAAAAGAAAAAUUAGCCAGGCAUGGUGGCAAGCACCUGUGGUCCCAGCUAUUUGAGAGGCUGAAGUGGGAGGAUCACUUGAGCACAGGACAUGGAGGCUACAGUGAGCUAUGAUCACACCACUGCACUCCAGCCUGGGUGACAGAGUGAGACCCUGUCUCUAAAAACAGCAACAAUAAUAGUCCUCUGUAUAUUUUAAGAGAACAAAGGAUUCUAAGACCAAAGAGUUUGCGAGUCACUGACUUAUAUAUUUAUAAAAUGGAAACAAAAGUCUCACACUACAAUAGUCAUCCUUACAUCAUACAAUGUACCCUGAG